AGCUUUGCACAGUGACAGUAUCAUAGCCAACGAGGUUUAUCCAAGGCACAAUUUAUUGCUAAUUGAAAACUUUUCCCAAUACCCCGCCAUGACAACUUAAAAUAUAGUCAGCAUUGGCAAUUUUUUACAGUCUCUAUGGAGA
rnacentral:snRNA from 1 species